rnacentral:rRNA from 1 species
AUUGAACGCUGGCGGCAUGCUUUACACAUGCAAGUCGAACGGCAGCGCGGGCUUCGGCCUGGCGGCGAGUGGCGAACGGGUGAGUAAUGCAUCGGAACGUGCCCAGUAGUGGGGGAUAGCCCGGCGAAAGCCGGAUUAAUACCGCAUACGACCUGAGGGUGAAAGCGGGGGACCGAAAGGCCUCGCGCUAUUGGAGCGGCCGAUGUCGGAUUAGCUAGUUGGUGGGGUAAAGGCUUACCAAGGCGACGAUCCGUAGCUGGUCUGAGAGGACGACCAGCCACACUGGGACUGAGGCACGGCCCAGACUCCUACGGGAGGCAGCAGUGGGGAAUUUUGGACAAUGGGGGCAACCCUGAUCCAGCCAUGCCGCGUGCGGGAAGAAGGCCUUCGGGUUGUAAACCGCUUUUGUUCGGGAAGAAAUCCUCUGGGCUAAUACCCCGGGGGGAUGACGGUACCGGAAGAAUAAGCACCGGCUAACUACGU